rnacentral:rRNA from 1 species
UACGAAGGGGGCUAGCGUUGUUCGGAAUUACUGGGCGUAAAGCGCACGUAGGCGGAUCGUUAAGUCGGGGGUGAAAUCCUGGAGCUCAACUCCAGAACUGCCUUCGAUACUGGCGAUCUUGAGUCCGGAAGAGGUGAGUGGAACUCCUAGUGUAGAGGUGGAAUUCGUAGAUAUUAGGAAGAACACCAGUGGCGAGGGCGGCUCACUGGUCCGGUACUGACGCUGAGGUGCGAAAGCGUGGGGAGCAAACAGG